rnacentral:lncRNA from 1 species
ACCAGGCUGGUUGUAUAGACAGGGAGAGGAAAGAAUCCUCAUAGCAGCUUUACGACAAUGGUUAGGGUUUCCAUUUUACUUACAGCACAUGUAACUGUGUCUUUGAGAAAAGAAGUAUUUAUUCAGGUUCUAAACAACAUUCAGAAAUGAACUUUAAAAUCUUUUUUUAAUGUUUAUUUCUACGUGUGUGGGUGUUUCUAUGCACCAUGUGUGUGCAGUGCCAGAGGAGGCCAGGAGAGGGCAUCAGAUUACCCGGAACUGGAGUUGCACCGGGAGCGAGCCAUGAUAAUGGGUGCUGGAAAUCAAACCCAGGUCCUGUGCCAGCCAGGACUCUUAUUGUCGAGCCGUCUGUCUCUCCAGCACCUGAAAUUAAUGGUUUUCAUUUUAACCCAUUCCGAACCAUUGUCUAUUUUCAAAUGACUGUUGUUAGUAAAACACCAAUAGGAUUUUAAUAUAGUUUUUUUAACUGUUUUACAAAAAAAAAAAAGUCUAUUCCUAAUGAUUAAACAGAGGCAGCUCCUUUCAAUU